UACGGAGGGGGCGAGCGUUAUUCGGAAUUAUUGGGCGUAAAGGGCGCGUAGGCGGCCCGGUAAGUCAAAGGUGAAAUCCCUCGGCUCAACUGAGGAACUGCCUUUGAAACUGUCGGGCUUGAGGCCGGGAGGGGGUAGCGGAAUUCCCAGUGUAGCGGUGAAAUGCGUAGAUACUGGGAGGAACACCAGUGGCGAAGGCGGCUACCUGGACCGGUUCUGACGCUGAGGCGCGAAAGCGUGGGGAGCGAUCCGG
rnacentral:rRNA from 1 species